rnacentral:lncRNA from 1 species
AAACUCUGCUAAAUUUUCCGUUCGAGCACUCCAUUCUUGUUGAGGCAGAGAACUGACUUGAGCAUCGGAGGAUCUUGCCGGAGCAACCCCACCUCCGGUUUAGACUUCCUUUGCAGGUCCCGACGGCGACCGCGACUCCCCCGACUCCAGCUUCUCCGGUGCAAGCGGAUUUUUGCACCAACAGGAUUGGCGCUAGAGGAAGGGGUUG